rnacentral:rRNA from 1 species
AUUGAACGCUGGCGGCAUGCUUUACACAUGCAAGUCGAACGGUAACAGGCCGCAAGGUGCUGACGAGUGGCGAACGGGUGAGUAAUGCAUCGGAACGUGCCCAGUCGUGGGGGAUAACGCAGCGAAAGCUGCGCUAAUACCGCAUACGUCCUACGGGAGAAAGAUUUAUCGCCUUUAGAGCGGCCCGCGUCUGAUUAGCUAGUUGGUGGUGUAAUGGACCACCAAGGCGACGAUCAGUAGCUGGUCUGAGAGGAUGACCAGCCACAUUGGGACUGAGACACGGCCCAAACUCCUACGGGAGGCAGCAGUGGGGAAUCUUGCGCAAUGGGCGAAAGCCUGACGCAGCCAUGCCGCGUGUAUGAUGAAGGUCUUAGGAUUGUAAAAAUACUUUCACCGGUGAAGAUAAUGACUGUAGCCGGAGAAGAAGCCCCGGCUAACUUCGUG